AAGCCCUCAUUGGCAGUUUGCUCUUCCCCAUUAUCUUCAUCAUCCUCUGUGUGGCGUUCUUCAUCAGGACGAUGARAAAAUCCAGGAAUGAUGAUGAAGAACAGAAGCUCUUCUCAACAGUCAUUUAUACUAACAUGCCACUUCCCAAACUCAUCAAAAGUGACUGAUGAGGAUCUGAUGGAAAUGCAGAUCAAGAAAACAUUUAAUGUUUUUAUGUUCUGAUGCUUGAGAAAUGUAAAUCUUGAAAACUGCAGCCGAUGAUCCACCUUUUUACAGUAACUGUCCUCCCUGAACCUCAGACAUGAUUUGUUGGACUUUUCAGAUCUUUGUAUUUUAUCAAAUUCAUUCUUAUGUUGCAUAUUCUCCAAGUCAAAAAAUGAAGCCAAUCACCACUUGAAUUUUACA